UUCAGUGUUUAUAAUUCAGACCUUUGAAGUGAGACCAGAGUUUCAUCAGACAGGCAUGGGCGUCAAGAUGGAAUCACAGACCCAGGUCCUCAUGUUCCUGCUGCUCUGGGUGUCUGGUGCCUGUUCAGAUACCGUGAUGACUCAGUCUCCAUCCUUCCUCUCUGAGUCAGUCGGGGCGAAGGUUACUAUCAGCUGCAAGUCCAGUCAGAAUCUUUUAUACAGUAAAAACCAGAAGAACUACCUAGCAUGGUACCAGCAGAAACCAAGACAAGCACCUAAACUGCUGAUCUACUGGGCAUCCACUCGGCACACUGGGGUCCCUGAUCGCUUCACAGGCAGUGGGUCUGGGACAGAUUUCACUCUCACAAUCAGCAAUAUUCAGGCUGAAGACAUGGGAGAUUAUUACUGUUUCCAGCAUUAUUACAUUCCUCCCACAGUGAUUCAACCUCCAUCAAAAACUUCCUCUGUGAGGCUCACCAUCUGCCUGCAACAGCCCUGACCUGCACACUUCUCC